GAGUUAAACUGACAAGUGACAUCUAUAAACUCUUCAUUCAAUACUGAAAACGAAAAUAAACUAAAAAAAUAUAAGUAACUGAGUGUAAUAAAUGCUGUAAUAUUUCUUUCACAAUAGGUAAUUCAUGGCGUAAAGUAUUUUUGCUGGUUAUUAUUUUCGUUAGCAGAAUCAUGGCUUGGCGAAGUCAUGGAGUAAACAAUGCUGAUAUGGUUCGAAAUUUACGAGCCAAUGGCAUCAUAAAAUCUGAUGCUGUAGCAAAUGCGAUGUUAGCUGUUGACCGAAAAAAUUACUGCCCUUCUGCUCCAUACCAUGAUUCACCGCAAACGAUUGGAUACUCAGCCACUAUAAGUGCUCCACACAUGCAUGCUCAUGCAUUGGAAAGGUUAAAGAACCAACUAAUACCAGGAGAAAAAGCAUUGGAUGUAGGAUCUGGUUCUGGCUACUUGACUGCUUGUAUGGCCAUGAUGGUCGGAGAAGCUGGACGAGUUGUUGGGAUAGAUCACAUAACUGAGCUUGUAACAUUGGCUACUAAAAACAUUCAGAAUGACAACCCCACACUGCUCACUUCUGAAAGGGUUAAGUUGGUUGUGGUGAUGGACGUCUAGGAUACCCAGCUGAUGGACCAUAUAAUGCUAUCCAUGUUGGAGCAGCUGCUCCUACUCUACCACAACCUUUGGUUGAUCAACUUAAACCUGGUGGCAGGCUUGUUGUACCUAUUGGUCCUGAGGGUGGUGAACAACAUUUGACUCAGGUUGACAAGGCAGCUGACGGCACAACUACCAUAAAAAAACUAAUGAGUGUUAUCUAUGUACCGCUGACUGACAAGGACCACCAAUAUCGUAUGAUGAGGAACUUUUUUGGAUUUUUAAGAAAAAAGCCCUGACUAGUUUUUAUUACUUUUAUUUUCUGCUGUUACUACUAUACUAUCCUUGUUAGAUCAUUUUGAUUUCAUAUAUAAGAGUAAGUUGUUUUUUUCAGGGAAAUGUUAUAUUAUUUGAUAAUAUCAAGUUGAAAAAUGGGCAUCAUAGAUGACAGUACCUAGUACAAUGGAAUAAAGUCAAACUUUUUAAUUAAUAUCGUUUUAAAGCUAUUAUCCUCAGAUUUCCGAUAAAAAAAGCAUUCAAUUAAUAAAACGCGACUGUUUAAAUUAAUAUAAGCAUCAGAUACUAGUUGAAACUGCUGAAAGUAUUUGUAACUUUGUUUUAGGUCCUUGGCGUUGAUAUUAUUUCCGAGUGAGAUCAUUAUUACUAUUGAUCGUAAGUGUAAUCUACCUUGAAAUAUUUAAGUAGACGAGUACACACCUUAUAUCCAAUGAUUUUAUUGUAUUGUUCACACCAUUGCUUCUUAAAUUAUUGUAUGGUUUAAAUAAUAAAUUAUUUACAUAUCACAAA
rnacentral:misc_RNA from 1 species